AUGUCGUCAUAUUCGCCUCUGAUGGACAAAACAAGGAAGAAAAAAAGUUAAUACCGAGUGAGGGAAAUUGAAGAGAGGGCGUUUUCCCUGUUGGCCACAGGACAAAACACAAACAACCGGCUCAUCCCUGCAGUCGGAGAAAAGGCAGGGUUGUAAUGUUUCCAGCCCACCUGGAGGAUGACAAUGCAAAGAGAAA